rnacentral:rRNA from 1 species
AGGAUUGAGGGCUGUAACUCGCCCUCAUGAAUGUGGAUUCCGUAGUAAUCGCGGGUCAACAGCCCGCGGUGAAUAUGCCCCUGCUCCUUGCACACACCGCCCGUCAAACCAUCCGAGCUGGUGCUGGAUGAGGGUAUGCUCUUAUGGGCAAACUCAAAUCUGAUGUCGGUGAGGAGGGUUAAGUCGUAACAAGGUAUCCGUAGGGGAACCUGCGGAUGGAUCACCUCCUAU